rnacentral:rRNA from 1 species
GAUGAACGCUGGCGGCGUGCCUAAUACAUGCAAGUCGAGCGAACGGACGAGAAGCUUGCUUCUCUGAUGUUAGCGGCGGACGGGUGAGUAACACGUGGAUAACCUACCUAUAAGACUGGGAUAACUUCGGGAAACCGGAGCUAAUACCGGAUGAUAUUUUGAACCGCAUGGUUCAAAAGUGAAAGACGGUCUUGCUGUCACUUAUAGAUGGAUCCGCGCUGCAUUAGCUAGUUGGUAAGGUAACGGCUUACCAAGGCAACGAUGCAUAGCCGACCUGGGAGGGUGAUCGGCCACACUGGAACUGAGACACGGUCCAGACUCCUACGGGAGGCAGCAGUAGGGAAUCUUCCGCAAUGGGCGAAAGCCUGACGGAGCAACGCCGCGUGAGUGAUGAAGGUCUUCGGAUCGUAAAACUCUGUUAUUAGGGAAGAACAUAUGUGUAAGUAACUGUGCACAUCUUGACGGUACCUAAUCAGAAAGCCACGACUAACUACGUG